GGGAGGAGGGAGGGGUGUUGAGGGCUUUGUUUGGUGCAGAGCUAAUGAAAAUACGUAUAAAGUACAUCUUGGUGUGAACUGUGACGUUGAGCACCCUGGAGUCAACCUCUUUGAGUAGGUGUGGUGUUCCCUUGAUCUUCAGGUGUUAGUUGUCUUCACACAGACAACUUGAUAUUCUCGGAUCUGUGCUACAGUGUAAGUCAUCCUCAAGAACACCUGCCCAACAGCAUGAGCUCAUACAGUAUCUUUGAUGUGCGUGAUCGUCAGGACCACCUGCCCAACAGCAAGAGCUCACACAGAACCCCUCCACUGACCCAAUACCCCUACAGGAAGUCUGCUCUAAAGCCGACUCUGCAGGCAACCUACAACCACCAUGAUCGUUCCGAGGAGAUCAGGCGUGACUUUCUCGCUCUUGAAGCAGAAAAAGGUUUUCAUGUGUACCUUAAAGGCAUUAAGGAAUGCAUUCAGCGAUAUCGCCACCAUAUAAUAACCCUGAAGUAUGAAUGGAAGAUCGGAGACUUUGAAGACACCAUCUUCAAAGAUGACAAAACUCAUUUGGAGAACUGGCAAGAACAGUACCUUCCUGACCACAUGAGAAUGCAGGUGUUAGGAACCAUCAGAGACAACAGCUGCACACCAGGGUGCCCUGAAAUAGUCCUUUUGCUGUGUGAAGACAGGAAGAUCUUCGCCUAUCGUGAACUGGAGAUGCACUUCUUGGCAAAUAACUUAGAGGAGCUGUUUGGGGAAGGAAUUUGUUUCCCUGGAAAGAAAAUAUUUCAUCAUGACCAAUGUUUUGAGGACCUGAAUGUCCUGCCCAUUUUGAAAGCCUUUUUCAGAAAUAUGAAGUGGGUGGAGUUAUGGGGUGAAGUGACACUUUAAAUAGUGUGAACGUGGGACGUUCACCUACAGAGGACGAUUUGGAAAAGGCAAGGAGAUCUGAUGAGAUGGUGAAAUUGAAGGAGGAACUGAAGACAGCGGGACAGCCAGUGAUUGCUGCGUUGAAGGCCUCCAUAGCUGCCUUCCAAAGCCGAUCCAAAGUUGCAGAAAGACAAAGACAGAGAAAGAAGACUACAGAAAAGAACCCUGAGUAUGCUGAACCCUGGGUAUGCUGACACUCAGCUGUUUAAAAACAACACUCAGUGAUGGACUAAUUCAUAUUAUGCUCUAGCACUCAGUGAUGCACCAAUUCAUAUUGUACUCUAGCAAUCACUGAUACAUAUUAUUACAGUGCAUGAAAAUGCACUGUACUGUUCUUCCUUGGUCUUCUUCUUCUUCUUCUUCUUCUUCUUCUUCUUCUUCUAACGCACGCCGCUUAACGUAGAAACUCCAUUCAAAUUUUGUCGCGUAGGUCUUACUUACGCGAUGUGGGUUUUGUAUUUUUCAACUUUGUAACUUUUAUACUUUUUAAACUAUUAGCCGGCCACCUGGGGCACCAACUGUCAGUUUCUCUGGCUUUAACCCUAUAGUGCCGUGCGUAUCAGAUUUGAUACAUGCAUUUCUGAGACCCAUUGCAUCACCAUGAGAUAUAAACUUUGCAUAAAACCCAGUUGUAUACAAUAUGUUACUUGUCUUUUGCCCCCUGUUGGAUACCUUUUGCAUUAUAACAAUUCUGACAAGUGGUUUGUUACAAUUCAAAAUGGUGGAAUCUCAUUAGCACCCUGAUGGUUAUGCAAAGGUCAAGGAUAUUGGUAAUUUGAUGAUUUUAUGGUGAGAUUUACCUUUACAUAUGUAUCAAUAUUUUAAAAUGAAAUAUUGCUUUGUUCAAAAAACAUUUAAAAAAAAAAAAAAUCAAAUGUAGUUUGGUGUAAAAUCGAGCAGAAAAUGUUAGUAUCAAAUUUGAUAAAGCAGGUAAUUCUCUCAGUGGUCAUGGGGGCUUUUUUUUUUUUUUUGGGAUAUUAUAUGAGUAUUAUGUCUUCCAUACAGUGUUUAAUGAAUCAAUUACACAAUUUACAUAUUAAAAUGUGAUAUUUACAACAAAUAAGUUGUCUUUGCUGUCUUUGCUGUCUCCUUGUGUUCUGUCUAACUGUAUGUUGCUUUUCCUGUUGCUGUGUCUUGCUUUAUGUUAUUGUGUGUCAUGUUGUGCUUUGCUUAUGUUGUUGUCUGUAUGGUGGCACUGAGUUUCCCCUUUAGGGGAUUAUUAAAGUUAUCCUUAUCCUUAUCCUUAUCCUUAUCCUUAUCCUUAAAUAAUUCAUAAUCCGUAUUCAAAAUUCCUAAAAAUCCAUGCUAUGGCUAAUUUACAGAGGUAUAAAAGAAAGUUCUCUACUGAAAAUGUUCUGAAAUUCCUUGAUGGCAAUUGGAGUGACAUACAGGGCCAUGUAGAGACAGAUGAUGAAGUGUAAAAUAGAAAUAGGACUCCAAAUACAGAGCAUGACGAGAAAAGUUCUACUAAAAGUAACGCUUCUGCCUGGUUAUCUCAUUGCAAAAUGAAAGAAAUGGAUGUAAAAAGGCAGCUGUUUGAAGAAAGAAAGAUUUGGAUGUUAUGGAUGACCAAAAAUCUUACAUAUGUCCAAGGUCUUGAUUUUGACCAACGUGUGUGUAAUGCCCAAUGUAUCAAAUAUGAUACAAACAGAAAAACGUAUUUGCAAAUCUUUUUUUACAUUUUUUUUUUUACAUUUUGGUUUAGGGCCUAAUAAAGACUCCAGAUUCUAAAAAAUAGAAUUUUCUGACCAUUAUUUAUUGGGUCAUACAGUCUCUCAGAAGACUACAUAUCCUGUUAACUGUUUCCUCUGUUCACAACUGUUUCAAAAUAAAAGUCCUCACUGCAAUAAUACACUAUUAAAUCAUUUAACCAUUGAAACUACUCAACUAUUGAACUGUUCAACCAUUCCAAC